UGGCUCAGAUUGUACGCUGUCGGCAGGCUUAUCACAUGCAAGUCGAGAGUAGAUGAGGUGCUUGCACCUUAUCUCAGCGGCGGACGGGUGAGUAAUGCUUAGGAAUCUGCCUAUUAGUGGGGGACAACAUUCCGAAAGGAAUGCUAAUACCGCAUACGUCCUACGGGAGAAAGCAGGGGAUCUUCGGACCUCGCGCUAAUAGAUGAGCCUAAGUCGGAUUAGCUAGUUGGUGGGGUAAAGGCCUACCAAGGCGACGAUCUGUAGCGGGUCUGAGAGGAUGAUCCGCCACAUUGGGCCUGAGACACGGCCCACACUCUUCCGGGAGGCAGCAGUGGGGAAUAUUGGACAAUGGGGGGAACCCUGAUCCCCCCAUGCCGCCUUGUGUGAAGAAGGCCUUAUGGUUGUAAAGCACUUUAAGCGAGGAGGAGGCUACUGAGAUUAAUACUCUUGGUUAGUGGACGUUACUCGCAGAAUAAGCACCGGCUAACUCUGUGCCAGCAGCCGCGGUAAUACAGAGGGUGCGAGCGUUAAUCGGAUUUACUGGGCGUAAAGCGUGCGUAGGCGGUUUUUUAAGUCGGAUGUGAAAUCCCCGAGCUUAACUUGGGAAUUGCAUUCGAUACUGGGAAGCUAGAGUAUGGGAGAGGAGGGUAGAAUUCCAGGUGUAGCGGUGAAAUGCGUAGAGAUCUGGAGGAAUACCGAUGGCGAAGGCAGCCAUCUGCCCUAACACUGACGCUGAGGUAC
rnacentral:rRNA from 1 species